rnacentral:rRNA from 1 species
UGCCAGCAGCCGCGGUAAUACGCAGGGGGCGUGCGUUGUUCGGAAUUACUGGGCGUAAAGCGCACGUAGGCGGAUGAUCAAGUUGGGGGUGAAAGCCCAGGGCUCAACCCUGGAACUGCCCUCAAAACUGGUCGUCUCGAGUACGGGAGAGGUGAGUGGAAUUCCUAGUGUAGAGGUGAAAUUCGUAGAUAUUAGGAAGAACACCAGUGGCGAAGGCGGCUCACUGGUUCGGUACUGACGCUGAGAUGCGAAAGCGUGGGGAGCAAACAGGAUUAGAUA